rnacentral:rRNA from 1 species
GAGUUUGAUCCUGGCUCAGGAUGAACGCUGGCGGCGUGCUUAACACAUGCAAGUCGAACGAAGCACUUUAUUUGAUUUCCUUCGGGACUGAUUAUUUUGUGACUGAGUGGCGGACGGGUGAGUAACGCGUGGGUAACCUGCCUUGUACAGGGGGAUAACAGUUGGAAACGGCUGCUAAUACCGCAUAAGCGCACAGCAUCGCAUGAUGCAGUGUGAAAAACUCCGGUGGUAUAAGAUGGACCCGCGUUGGAUUAGCUAGUUGGUGAGGUAACGGCCCACCAAGGCGGCGAUCCAUAGCCGACCUGAGAGGGUGACCGGCCACAUUGGGACUGAGACACGGCCCAAACUCCUACGGGAGGCAGCAGUGGGGAAUAUUGCGCAAUGGAGGAAACUCUGACGCAGUGACGCCGCGUAUAGGAAGAAGGUUUUCGGAUUGUAAACUAUUGUCGUUAGGGAAGAGAAAGGACAGUACCUAAGGAGGAAGCUCCGGCUAACUACGUGCCAGCCGCCGCGGUAAUUC